rnacentral:rRNA from 1 species
UGGGGAAUUUUGGACAAUGGGCGAAAGCCUGAUCCAGCAAUGCCGCGUGUGUGAAGAAGGCCUUCGGGUUGUAAAGCACUUUUGUCCGGAAAGAAAUCCUUGGCUCUAAUACAGUCGGGGGAUGACGGUACCGGAAGAAUAAGCACCGGCUAACUACGUGCCAGCAGCCGCGGUAAUACGUAGGGUGCAAGCGUUAAUCGGAAUUACUGGGCGUAAAGCGUGCGCAGGCGGUUUGCUAAGACCGAUGUGAAAUCCCCGGGCUCAACCUGGGAACUGCAUUGGUGACUGGCAGGCUAGAGUAUGGCAGAGGGGGGUAGAAUUCCACGUGUAGCAGUGAAAUGCGUAGAGAUGUGGAGGAAUACCGAUGGCGAAGGCAGCCCCCUGGGCCAAAUACUGACGCUCAUGCACGAAAGCGUGGGGAGCAAAACAGGAUUAGAUACCCUGGUAGUCCACGCCCUAAAACGAUGUCAACUAGUUGUUGGGGAUUCAUUUCCUUAGUAACGUAGCUAACGCGCGAAGUUGACCGCCUGGGGGAGUACGGUCGCAAGAUUAAAAACUUAAAGGAAUUGACGGGGUCAUAGCUGUUUCCU